CGGGGUGUAGUAUAUCGGUAGUAUCUAUGUUUUGGGAACAUAAGGGCCGGGUUCGAUUCCCGGCACCCCGACAA
rnacentral:tRNA from 2 species